rnacentral:rRNA from 1 species
UAGUGGCGAACGGGUGAGUAACACGUGAGUAACCUGCCCUUGACUCUGGGAUAAGCCUGGGAAACUGGGUCUAAUACUGGAUACGACCUUCCCACGCAGUGGUGUUGGUGGAAAGCUUUUGUGGUUUUGGAUGGACUCGCGGCCUAUCAGCUUGUUGGUGGGGUAAUGGCCUACCAAGGCGACGACGGGUAGCCGGCCUGAGAGGGUGGACGGCCACACUGGGACUGAGACACGGCCCAGACUCCUACGGGAGGCAGCAGUGGGGAAUAUUGCACAAUGGGCGCAAGCCUGAUGCAGCGACGCCGCGUGAGGGAUGAAGGCCUUCGGGUUGUAAACCUCUUUCAGUAGGGAAGAAGCGAAAGUGACGGUACCUGCAGAAGAAGCGCCGGCUAACUACGUGCCAGCAGCCGCGGUAAUACGUAGGGCGCAAGCGUUAUCCGGAAUUAUUGGGCGUAAAGAGCUCGUAGGCGGUUUGUCGCGUCUGCCGUGAAAGUCCGGGGCUUAACUCCGGAUCUGCGGUGGGUACGGGCAGACUUGAGUGAUGUAGGGGAGACUGGAAUUCCUGGUGUAGCGGUGAAAUGCGCAGAUAUCAGGAGGAACACCGAUGGCGAAGGCAGGUCUCUGGGCAUUAACUGACGCU